CUCCUCAACUGUCCCUGUCCAUUUCAGAUUAGAGAUUAAUGGGAGAGCAGGGGGGUGAUCUGGGCCGGCAGCCUGUCCCAGCAGUCAUUAUGUGUGCAGCAAGACUGAUGCCUCAUUGAACCUCUCCCAGGGAUCUCCAGGAUUUCUCACCUGCCACAGAGGUCUCCUUCCUAUCUUUUGCUCCUGCUAUUGAAUGAGGACAGAGCAGAAAGCAUGCAGUCAGCCACAGCCUCAGUGUUGGACCUGUCAAGGACUGUCCUGGUCACAGAGGAGAAGAAUAACUUGUAUAACAGCACAGGUCAGUGUAAAAAGAUUGUGCCGCCGGAGUCCGGCUCAUUCCACAUUGUGCACGGAAAUGGCUCUUCAGUGGGGACCGUUAUUAUGUUUCAGUGCUCCUCUUCAUAUCAGCUGGUUGGAGAAGGAUUAACGACCUGUGUCUGGAAAGGAAACAGCACCUUGUGGACAGCGGGCGCGCCUUCCUGUAAACCCUUAUCAAAAUACGAGACAUUUGGAUUUAAAGUGGCCGUUAUUGCCUCCAUCGUGAGCUGUGCCAUCAUUCUGUUGAUGUCAAUGGCUUUUUUGGUGUGCUGCCUUGUAAACUGUGUGAAGAAAAGUGAGAGGAGGCGAUCAGAAAGAGACAAGGUCAUGUGGCAUCAAUUAGAGUGCGAGGAACUGGAAAACAUGCAAGCCGCCUACUUUGCAAUGAAAGGAAGAAAUAACAAUAACAACAAGCAAGGGAGCCGGCCGAGAAUGGACGACUGGAUAAAUAUGGCUUAUGAGAACCAGGGAUUUUGUAGAUGCCAUGACGUUUGGAGCAAUGAUCGCCCAGCGCAUUCUUCUAGAGAAGGGCAUUGUGGGCAUUGUCACAGUAAAGACCACUCGAGCAGACCUCCUGUCCCUGGCUCCAAUGCUGCCAUACAGACUAUUAGUGGAAUGCAUGUUGUUGAAAUCUACGGACAUGAAAAAGUUUCUCAAAGGAGACAUGAACCCCGUGCCCCUGAGUAACGACAUGGAUUGAGAUGGCUGACAUCCUAAGACUGCUAUUUGUUAUAACUAUGUGCCUUAGAAAUGAAUGAACUAUUGACAUUCUAAAAAGAAAAUAUCUCACAAAAUUCCUGGAGGACUUGCCUGAUUUCACAUGAUCCAAGAUGUAGAGGAACUUGGCCCUCACUUCACAGACAUGAGAAGAUCCCAACCCUAGGACACUAUCCUCAACUGCCAUACAAGGGAGCUCAGAAAGCUGAUAAGGAGAGGGAGAUCACUCAGACUCACAGGAGCUUCUCUGCUCUUCAGGCUCAGAAUCUCAGCUAGCUCUGACACCCCCCCAUUUCCUGUGAGCAUUGUUCUGUGUCUCUGUUACUAAGGACGGAUCUUGCCUGACAGCAAGUAAGGCGGAAGUGAGACCCCUAAUGGCCAUGACUUUACAGCUUUUUUUAAGGUGGAUGCAGACAGAUUUUUUAAAUGAAGUAAUUUAGAAAAUUGCUAAUUGCACCAUUCUCUAUUAGACUAAAUUGUGUGAAAGUGCAGUGUCUCAAAAGAGUCGUAUCACUGAAACUCACACAACAGCAAACUCUAAUCCUGUAACGGGAGCAGCGACCUCCUCAUUAAUGGGAUUAUGUUGCUGAGGACAUGACUUCAUAUGACUGGGACAAUGUCAACAUUUUCUCAGAAGGGACAAAUAGAGAAAAAAAAUACUUCCAGUUCUGCAAGUUCAGGAGAGCAUUGGUACGGCUGUGCCCUUUAAUUAUUGCCUGAUUAAAGAGGACCUGUCAGCAAGAUCAACCCUAUUAAACCGGACAUAAUACCUGGUCGGGUUGAUCCUGCUGAGUUAGAUCAUACCAUAUUUAUGUUUGUAUGUGCCGCUGUUGCCAAGUAAUCAUCGCUUUUAAUUGAUAUGCAAAUUAGCUUCCUGGUACACUAGGGGUUCAGAGCACCAGAUCUAUGACCAUGUGCCAGUGAUGUAUCAGCAUCAGCACUAGGGAGAGAUGUAUGAGAGGGGAAUAUACUUAUGUUAUGAUUCUGUUCACAGCUCUGGACUACUCCUGCAUGGGAAGCCAUUGUCUCCAGUUCUGGUUGCACGCUGACAUCAUCGCACAUGCGCAGUAGGUAACAACACUGCUCUGGAAGCUGAAGCAGAUGUUCUGGGUAUGUGCCGAUACUGGGUGCAACAGCACGGGUGCAAGAUUACAGGAUCAGGUGAGAUGCCUGGUUCUGUCAAGCUAGGGGAAUUGGGGAGUGGUAGGAGGAGCAGGGCAUUGAAGGACAUUGAAGAUCUGGUGCUUCGAGGGGCUUGAGCCCACCCCUCGGUGCACCACUAAGCUAAUCUGAAUGUCAAUAAAAAGGGUAAUUACUAGGGAUGAGCGAACUUGAUGUUUAUAAGGAGUCCUGUCCUGCAUAACGGAAACCAGAUGGAUCCGUUAUGCUGCCCAUAGACUUCCGUGAUAACGGAAUCCAUGACGGAAUUCAACCAGAAACCGAACCCAAACUUGAAAAAAGCGAGUUGGUAACAGUGGCACAUACAAACAUAAAAAUUGUAUCAUUUGACUUGUCGGGAUCAAACCUAGCAUACGUCAUGUCUUGUUUUAUGGGGUUGAUCCUACUGACAGGUCCUCUUAAAACUAUGAGUAAAUUAAGGGUUACAACAAACGUGGGGUCCCAUAUACAAAGAUCAAAAUGUCUCCUGCCCAUCCCUCCACAGAUCCUCUUGUAAAGUGUCACUCUAGGCCGGGGAUCGCCAAUCUCCGACACUCCAUCUGUUCUGAAACUACGACUCCCAGAAUCCUCCUUUCACGUUUCAGUGUGCAUUCUGGGAGUUGUAGUUUCGCAGCAGCUGGAGUGCCAAAAGUUGCUGAUCCCUGCUCCAGGCCCUGAAUGUAUGACCAUAUAGUAUGGCAUAGCAGAGGCUUGUAGCACAAUGUUUCAAAUCCUGUUCUGAGGAACAAUAAAGCCUUGUUUCUGGACACGGUUAUACAGCAGGGUCAUUAUCACUAUAUUUGAAAGAAACAUGGCUGAAGCUGAUUUGUGUUUGCAGAUAAACCUGUAAGUCAUUUUCUAUAGAAGGGAACUAACUUCCUAAAUUCUUAAUGAUUAGAGAUGCUGCUAGAGACAUGGCCGGCUAUAUACGGCGUACAGGAACGAAGACUGAACAACCCAAAAAUAACACGUUGGUGCUGGGACCAGUACACCAUCCAUCUUCAAGUCUUCUUGUUUGCAAGCAAUAUACAAAAAGGUUGUGUUUAAAGGGGUUUUCCAAGAUUUUUAAACUGCUGAACUAUCCUCUGGAUAGGUCAUCAGUAUCUGAUCGGUGGGGGUACAACCACCGGGACCCCCGCUGAUGAGCUCCUGUGAGCGCCACGGCUUUCUCUCAGCUCACCAAGCAGAGCGCUGUACUUGGUAUUCACUUCAAUGGGGUUGAGCUGUGCCUAGGCCAUGUUACCAAUGAACUUGUUGUCAGAUGGCCUAGGCAAAGCUGUGACAAGGCCACCUACUCAGACAGCUGAUCGCUGGGGGUCCUGGGUGUAGAAACCACCAUCGAUCAGAUACUGAUGAUAUAUCCAGAGAAUAGUUCAUCAGCUAAAAUAUUUCAGAAAACCGCUUUAAGGAUUACCCGUAGCCAAUAAAACCUCUAUACUAGCAGGGGUUUACUUACAAGAGUAAAUGGUGGUGUGAUUGGUUCCUUCAUUGUAAAUGGCCUUUUCCAAUGUAGCUUUUAUAGUGCAACAUGUAUAAACCAUUGAAUAUAAGCAGAACCACAAUUUUAAAGGGGUUCUCCCAUCAUAGUAAGUGCUUGUGGUCAUGUGACUGCUGGGAUUCCCAUUAAAUUGUUAGGAUGAAGGCGCAGAGAUACUAGAUAAGCGCUGCACAGUGUAUCCCUGCACUUUGUUCUCUGGGACCUAAAGAUGUAGCAAAAUGCAAUAACUUCCUAUGGUGGAAACAGUCCUUUAAUGUCAAGGAUCUUCUGCAUGUUGGUGUAGAAGGAAAUUUGGAAAGGCUUUACUGCUCUGUAGUUCAUCUGAACAAUGCAAUCACAGCAGGGAUCGGAGACUCAUGCAGCGCCCUUCAGACUCUGCAUUAGGUAUAAGGCUAGUUUCACACCAGCAGUAAAUUCUUCCGACAGGCUGUUCUGGCAGAGGGACAGCUUGCCAGAGGACAUUGUAUCCAGCAUAGCCGGAUACUGCCUGACCCCACUGGAGCCAAAUUACUAUAAUUAGACUCAACUGGAAACCGUCCUGUUUACACUAUUAGGCCCCUUUCACACGGGCGAGUUUUCCACGCG